CUCCAUGGUAAUCUUCCAGUGAGAAAGAAAGAGAUGGGCUAUAUAAGAAAAUGGAUUUGACAGCCACACACCAUUGUGCAUUUAAAGUGGACAUCAGGGAAUUAUAAGCUUGAGUAUUCCAGUCAUAGGGAAGUUAAGGAACGACGAGAGGCAAAAACAUGCUCGGAGGCAGGACUAGCAUUUAUACACCCAAAGAAGCAUAGAGUGGAGCAGAAAGGAAGCUUAGAGGUCAUUAUUCCAACUCCGUCAUUUUAUAGAAGAGGACAAAGAGGGCAAGGGAGAUCAAAUGACUCACCUGUGCUCACAGAGGAUAUCUCUACACAGCUUUAUGAUGAUUCAUUCCCAGAGGAAAGAAAAUUGGAUUUACUCAUCAGCAUCAAUGACACCAAUAAGCAAUAAUCAUCUUCAUGUCAUAAAUGAGAAACAGAUCUUUAUACCUACAGAAUGAAAAAUACCGCACAAAAGAAAAUGACCUAGCUUGAGUUUUCAGCCAUCCUCCCAAAUGAAUCAGCUUGGCUGCCCCACUGAUCUGAUUGAUUGCUUAAAAAUUGGCAAUUAAGACCUCUGGGGAAAAAAUGACUUGACUGAAAAAUGGUUGAUUCUCUGGCCACUUACAAACAUAAUGUGAAAUGAAAGGAGGUUAAAUGAUUCACUCAAGGUCACUCAGUAAGUAAGCUCAUGAUGAUAGAAUCACUUGAAUCCAUUACAAAACAAGUUAGAAAGUAAGAAAAUUGACAUAGAAUCUUUACCCAACAAAUCAUCCACAAGAAAAUCUUCUCAAAAAGUAUCAGUACAUAUUAAAAAUAAGAGUAAAUUGUGUGAAGGAAGAGAGAGUAGGACUUGCUUAUUACAUGGUAAUAUAUUGACAGUAUACCAUUGUGCUUCUCAAUGCAUUACCAAAAAAAGGUUUCUAAGAUGGAAGAUAAUCACUGAAGGAGAUGCACUGUUCCUGAACUAACUUCAAAGUCCUAACUUAUAGGCACAAUAUUUCCCAUGUUUAUUAUUGGUUGAAUCCACUCUACAUUCCAGGAUUAUUAUUCUAUGACUGAUAUCUUCUGGUACCUACUAUUUAAUCUCUUCUUGAUUUAGGUGAAAUUCUGGAAACUUCCUCUCAGUCUUAGUUUUGGAUCAAGGUUCUCUGUGCACGAACCAGGCAGAUAUGAGGCAAAGCCAUCCCUUGUAAAAGUGAGAAUUAUGGAAUAUGCACCAAUA